GGAGACAUCCUGUGCUACACAGUGAGGGUUUGCUCUCUAACAGUCUGUGAAGCAGAUGAACUAAUCCACUGCAAGAUGGUGCUCAGCUUUUCACUUUUGUUCUGCACUUUUGCAUGUGUCAGUUUUGGGAAUGUCAUCACACCGGUCCAGCCUGAGGUGUUUGGGACAGAGGGGGACAAUAUAACUCUGUCCUGUAACUACUCUUCAGCAGUUAGUCUGCAGUGGUAUCGCCAGUAUCCAAACUCAGCUCCUGAAUUCCUUUUGACAAUACUACAUAGGUCAGGGAAAGUAUCACAGACAUCUCCAAUUGUAGAUCGAGAUCCUCGAUUCUCUGGGAAAGUGAAUGAAAAGAAAACCCAUGUGGAUCUGGAUAUUUCAUCUGUUAAAGUGACAGACUCUGCUCUGUACUACUGUGCUCUGGAGCCCACAGUGACAGGAAACACAAGAACACUGUACAAAAACCUGACUUAUCUUAAUCAUCCAGUGGGUUCAUUGUUGAUCAUCCAGGAAAUGUGUGCAGACAUUUGUUUGAAAGAUAACAAUGUGAAUGUGGCUCAAACAUAUUUACAAUUAUAUUUCAAAAUGAACAUGCUGUUCUGAGCUCCAACAGAAGGAUUGCAACAUAAUCUCAUUUCAUGUUUCAUAAGCAUUUACCAGAUGCUCCCCCUGGAUGAUUCAGAAGUGCACAACAUUUAAUCAAUCAACAUUUAAUUUUAAACACUGAAUGGAGUGUUGAGUAAUGAUUAUUAAAGUAAUACCCUGGUAAAAGUAGAUAUUUUUUAUUUGUUCUGUGUAAUUAUGAUAUAGCAAAUUCAUUGGAUAUAUAGAUAGAUCGGUUAGAUGGAAAGGGGAAAUAACUAGUGAUAUACAGAAGUGCACAGACCAUGUUUAUGUAUCACUGACCACACCCACAUUAUUAAUAUACAAUAGCACCAGUGUAUUCAGUCACCCAUUCGCUACUCUCACAUUUGUAUUCAUUUUAUGA